CCUACGGGAGGCAGCAGUGGGGAAUAUUGCGCAAUGGGCGAAAGCCUGACGCAGCGACGCCGCGUGCGGGAUGAAGGCCUUCGGGUUGUAAACCGCUGUCGGGAGGGACGAAUCAAUGACGGUACCUCCAAAGGAAGCACCGGCUAACUCUGUGCCAGCAGCCGCGGUAAUACAGAGGGUGCGAGCGUUGUCCGGAAUUACUGGGCGUAAAGGGCGCGUAGGCGGUUCGGUAAGUAGGGGGUGAAAUGCUGCGGCUCAACCGCAGCCCUGCCUUCUAAACUGCCGGACUUGAGCGUAACAGAGGCAGGUGGAAUUCCCGGUGUAGCGGUGGAAUGCGUAGAGAUCGGGAAGAACAUCGGUGGCGAAGGCGGCCUGCUGGGUUACUGCUGACGCUGAGGCGCGAUAGCGUGGGGAGCAAACAGGAUUAGAUACCCUGGUAGUCCACGCCGUAAACGA
rnacentral:rRNA from 1 species